UACGUAGGGGGCAAGCGUUUGUCCGGAUUUAUUGGGCGUAAAGAGCGUGUAGGCGGCCAGACAGGUCAGCUGUGAAAACUCGAGGCUCAACCUCGAGACGUCGGUUGAAACCGUCUGGCUAGAGUCCGGAAGAGGAGAGUGGAAUUCCCGGUGUAGCGGUGAAAUGCGCAGAUAUCGGGAGGAACACCGAUUGCGAAGGCAGCUCGCUGGGACGUAACUGACGCUG
rnacentral:rRNA from 1 species